rfam:Crenobacter luteus strain CN10 contig_22, whole genome shotgun sequence.
GAAGCCAACCAGACAGUCGCCGCAUCCUUUGGUGGAUGGGGAGGAAAGUCCGGGCUCCACAGGGCGGGAUGCCGGCUAACGGCCGGACGCCGCGAGGCGAUGGAAAGUGGAACAGAGAGCGGAACCGCCGAUGGCCCCCGAACGCGCGAGCGGAGCGGGAACAAGGCACAGGCAAGGGUGAAAAGGUGGACCCCUUCGGGGGCGGCCGGGGAAACCCGGCCCGGUAAGAGCGCACCGCGGACGUGGCAACACGGACGGCAGGCUAAACCCCAUCCGGAGCAAGACCAAAUAGGGGUGCGAUGGCGUGGCCCGCGCUGCACCCGGGUAGGUUGCUUGAGCCUGUCGGCAACGGCAGGUCUAGAGGAAUGACUGUCCACGACAGAACCCGGCUUACCGGUUGACUUCCCCC